UUUUUUUUUUUAAGUACCGGUAGAAACCGAGAAGCCUUUAUAAAUAUGAAACAAUUUUUAGUUUACAUUAUUAAAGUGCCAGACUUUUUAUUUCUACAUUCCAAGUUUGAUGGUCUGUCUUACAAUGCAUUAACAGAUUAAAGCUAGUUUCACUGACAGUGGAAAUUGAAGUACAGGAGACUCCAAUAGGCACUUAGCAAGCAAACAAAUAUUUACCCAAAAUGUUUUUUUUGUUUGUUUGUUUCCAGAUAAACCAGGUACAGUACUACUAGUUGAUUUUCUCCAGAAUGGCAUACCGGUGUCUUUUAAAAUGAUCUACAAUGGCAGAUCUAAGUACUACUGUACCCACCGUCACACAAUUGGAAACACGGGAGAAAGAAGUCUGAAUUCCAGCAGGUUUUCAAUUUGAAGGUUGACUCUGUUUAGGCCACGAUUUAGACACAGAAGGUGCAGAAUCAAAAACAGUAGAGUAAUUCAACUGUAAAUCUUUCGCUUCCCAUUAUACAGUGGGUGGGCGGAUUUAGAUGGCCUAUUACAUGCUGUGAAUUAUUUGAAGGGAGUGUUGAAGAGGAUAUUUAUGUAAUGUAACAAUGCUGAAGGUUUUAAUGUGAUUGGAUAGAGGAUUAUUUCUUUGAUCUGUUGACACUAAUAUGGAUGAUGUAGUUCAGGUACUGCUCAUAAAUGACCCUGGGGGAGGGGGGUGUCUUUCUGGCUUUCUCAUAAAUUGUAGGUCUCAGCUGUCUCUUCUAGAGCACUGUUUUUUUUUUUUGUUUUUUUUGGAAGUAUUGCAGGAGGCAUACUUUGUUUUUUGGUUGACACACAAUACAUCAUUCAAACAACAGCCAAAUCUUAGAAGUUAUCUUAUCUAACCACUCUCUCAUAAAAAACAGCUCAGCAUCAUCUCUCAAAUCCUCAUAAUACCCUGUUUUUGUUAUUUUUGGCUAUUAGUAUAUUAAAUGUGUUUGGGUUUCUGCAGAGAGGUAUUCUAGUGGGAGUUUCCAUGGUUAAAAUAAUACCCUGGGCUUGUCCUUUUGCACUGACUAUUAAUAAGAAGUCAUGUUUGGAGUGUUUACAUAAGAAAUCUAGUUUAAUUUCGCUAGGCAAGUUUGUAUUUGUAAAUGAUGAAGUCAUUCUAACAGAGCAACUGCCUGUACAUCACAUAAUACUGUAGAUCUGUUAGAUGUAAAGCUGCAUUAACAGUUUAUAAAAUGGCCAAUUGAUUAUCCCACUAUACGCAUACAUUGCAUUUAAAGUGAGCCGUGUUAGUGCUGACACCUGAGGAUGAAUGGCAGCUGAAGAGCAGGUGUUUGAAUUUGUGGUGAUUUGUAUAGAGAGGAGCUAAGCAAAGCUGUUACAUUUUCGUGAGUUUGUGUUUUUUCAAAAUUACUGUUAAGUUUAAUAAAAAAAAAAAAGAUGGAUUUCAGUGUUCUGUAUUCCUCUGUAAUUUUCAGUUGAUCUAAUAUUUAUUAGUUGGAGGAUUUUUUUUAAUGAGAUAUUUUGCAGUAAGUCAUAAAUGUGUGUGGAUUGUUGCCUGGCAACAUCAAAAGUAUUGGAAAAAGGUGAACGUUGUGUUACACAAAAACAAGAUCGACCUCCAGCAUGCUCCUGCCAGGUGAUAACUAUGCACAAGGUACUGAAAUUAACAAUAUGCUAAUUUUGUAAACUGAUUGCUGUGCCUGGAGUUGAGAUUGAAAUCUUGCCACUCUUAAUGAAAAAUACAUUGGUCUUAGUGGGCACCCAUCCUGGUAAAAACAUGUAAAAGAACCGAGCCACCUUGAUGGUGUUGCUUGCUGCUUUUCAUUAUUGUCUUUCCCAGUCCAGUCUUUCAUUACAUAAAUGUUAAUUUGAUGCCCCACCUCCACAUUCCCUUUUCUUGAAGCACCUCUUUUUAUACCAUAAGUAGCCUUUUGCUGUGGUUUACUAAGAAACCCUGCUUCUAGGUUUGAGAUGAAUGGGAAUGAAAUGGUGUGGACAACAAAGGGGUCAGCCUUUAUCUGCAUUGCUUGCACCUCUCCUGCUGAGAUGCUUCCUAAGAAGUGAGGAUGUGAACAUUCCCUCAGUGUUUGGAGGGUUAGGUCUUUUCACACGCACACACUCAGACCCUCACUCACUCACUCACACAAGCACAAUGUGGUGGCCUGUCAAAGCACUCAUUUGCAUUUGACCCAUUAUCUUCUUCUUCCUCUAGGUGAACUCUAUUCAGAACCAAAUGCAAUCUAAGGGAGGUUACGGAGGUGAUGCCAUACCAGUAAAUGUUCAGCUUAUAGAUACAAAAGCGGGAUAGCGUACGAGUUUGUUUGUUUGGUUCCUUCUGUGUGUGUCCUUCAUUGUCUCUCUUUUGCCUUUGGUGACUGCUUUUCAUGUUCCUCCUAAUGAGAAAGAAGUGAUGGUCUGUCAUUCAUCCUUCAUCCCUGUGACUGGUUCUUCAAUGCAAAAAAUACAUGACAGUUUGCUGUUCUGCUCUGAAGAUGUUGUUCUGUUGGAACAGUUCUGCCCUGCCUUUAAGCAGCUCUCACAGGCUUGCCCGAAUAGAUAUGGACAGUAUACUUCUCCCCCUAAAUCUAAACUACUACAGAUGUUAGCAUGACCUUCUUUUCCUGCAAGUGCCAGUGCUAAGUGUUGCUGUGCUUUUCCUUUUUUGUACUUUGCUAUGAGCAUUUCUGUUCUCUGUGUUUUAAAGUUGUUAAUGUUUGAAGGUCUGGAACCAGCAAACACAAUGAUUUUUUUUUUUUUUUAUUAUUAUUUUUUAUUUUUUAAGUAUUGUUUCUCUCUUUUUUUUUUGCGCUCCCUGUUUGGCUGUCAGCAUAGUAGUUGACCGCGUAUUUGUGAGGUAGCUUUGUAUGGUGGCCUGUUGGUGCGGAAUGAAGAUACUGUUGCUGACAAGAAAUUAGCUCUAAUAUUGGCACGAUUUGAUGCCAUUCUAUAGGAAAUAGAAUUAUAACUUAGCUGCUUAACAUUUGUUCUCUGCUCAGUUUGUUUUAUUUUAAUGAACUGGUCUCAAAAUAAAAUAACUGGCAUUGAAAUUGUAUUCUGCUGUAAAUGUUCAGUAUACUUGAUUUUAAAGAAUCUGACUUUUGAGUAUGCAACAAGUAUAUAGUUAUGUGUAUAAUAUAGUGAUGUUAUAGUGCUCAGUACUGAUGUGAAAACAAUAUAUGACAUUAAGUCUUGCAGUCUUCUGCAGAAAGAGUCUGCCUGCAUUAUUAACUUUACACUUCUUUUUUGAAUAAACCUUUCAAAGUAAAUGUCAGCUUUUGUGUACUAAAUAUUUGGGGUCCGUGCAGGUUGCCAUGGGCAACAUUUUGAGCUAUCUGAACAAAUGCCAGUACAAAUACCAUCAACAAACAGGGUGACUUAUUACUAUGUUACUUAAGGAUGUUUUGCUCAGGUUAAAAGGCAUAUUCUGACUUCUAUAAGAGUUGUGUACAUUGUAUAAUAAUAUUGCACUGUUUUCUAAUGUUAGUGUAAAGUGUAUAUCUAGAAGAAUAUAAAAACACAAAUGAAAUCUGUACAAUAAGGUUGCUCACUGGUUAGCUACAAGCCUUUUUCCAAACACUUAACAUGUUGCAAAAACAAUGCAAAUCAUGAAUAAUUAAGCUGUAUAAUUGUUUGAGGUACUGUGUAUAAGCUCACUUAAAAAAAACAAAAAAAAACACAAAACUCAAGAACUGGCUUUCAUUGUAUGGUAAUCUGAAGAAAUUGGUAUACUAGUGAUUGCAUUUAAUUAAAAAAAAAAUCUUCAUCUGCCAAAUUGUCUUGAUUUUGUCUUGACAGGCUUUCCAACUUGCAUUUCCUGUUUACUCCAAUCCAUAGAUACUUAUUUAGUGGGGUUUGUGCUGUGUUACAUGGGGCUUGCUUUUUUCCUGAAUGAAGUCUGGAUAAUGCCACCACUCCUGAUUAAUCACAUUUAAGAAAAAAGUCAAUGACCAAAAAAUAUGUGUUAUGAAAAAAAUGAAAAUAAAACAACAACAACACUUUUGUAUCCAAUCUUCUAACCCCUGAUGCCAUGUGGCUCUAAGGUGCUACUGUAUAUGUGUAAAUAGUGUAUUCUGUGCAUGUUGCUCCCUGUGGUCAUUUUAUUUAUUUGUUUGUUACUGCCUGUUUUCAAAUGUUGCAUGGCAAGCCGCAGAUCUGGUCUGUCAGUGUUUCAGCACUGAUUGGUUAUGUGUCUCGCUCUUGGGCCACAUGGCAGGGACAAACAUUCAUUUCCUCUGUGUUUGCACGUGUGGUAUUAUUUCUGAAGCCCCACUAUGAAAGCACCUGGUGCAUUUUGUCAUUGUGAUUAAAUUAUCCAAAUGUGGACAAGAUAUUUUAAAUAAUAAAAUAUGUAACAAAGCCCUUUAGGAAAAAGCUCUUUAAUAAAUUGAUGGUUAUUUUAAGCACGAUAAUUAUGAGUUUUAUGUGGACUGGUGUUUGCAAUAAAGUGUAAACAUUGAGAGAUAUAUGGUGACACCAUUGUCAACCUUAUGGUGAAAUCAUUAUUCUUUCUACCAUAUUGAUAUGGUAGUGACUAUUUCUGUCUUGUGACUCAAUAGCAAGGAAAAGGAGAAUACACUUGCAUAUUUUUUUAUGAUGCAUAUA